AAAGAAAGAAAGAAAGAAAGAAAAAAAAAUGAUGCUGAUUGCAUGUAGCCCAUGAGACGGAAAGGCCUGGAAGAGGGGAAACUUUUCAUGGUACAGAAACUGCCAGCAGCCAGAGGAAGACACCUGUCCUGAUCCGCAUGUGGAGUCAUAAGCAGUCAUUUUCUAACUUGGCAGAGCUCCCGGCAGUGACAUUUCCAACACCACCUAGAGGACCAGGAAAUUCAGUCAGGCUGGCAGCACCAGAGGUGGGCCUGAUCAGAUCCCUCUCGGCAAGUCCUUAUGCAAGAAAUGAGGGGAGUGGAGGGCCCUGGGCAGUAAUCCCAAGAUUCUGUGGAGAAUUUUUUUGGAGGUUAACUGCUGAUUUGCAAAUAUGCAAACUUUUCAAGAUUUGGUUUGCUUGGAUUUGGAAGGAAAUUGAGAAAAAGAUACGGAGGAUAGGUUUCAUUCCUUUCCUACUGUAACUACUCACAUGAAAUGAAGAGGAAUGUUGAGGAAAUGAAUCGUAAUGAUUGAAACCCCUCCUAUUUAGAAAUGUAUUUUCUUCUGUUAUAUGGCAAUGCCACAGGACUGGAAAAGGUCCAUUUUCAUUCCAAUCCCUAAGAAAGGCAAUCCCAAAGAAUGCUCAAACUACCGCACAAUUGCACUCUUCUCACACGCUAGUAAAGUAAUGCUCAAAAUUCUCCAAGCCAGGCUUCAGCAAUACAUGAACCGUGAACUUCCAGAUGUUCAAGCUAGUUUUAGAAAAGGCAGAGGAACCAGAGAUCAAAUUGCCAAUAUCCACUGGAUCAUCGAAAAAGCAAGAGAGUUCCUGAAAAACAUCUAUUUCUGCUUUAUUGACUAUGCCAAAGCCUUCGACUGUGUGGAUCACAAUAAACUGUGGAAAAUUCUGAAAGAGAUGGGAAUACCAGACCACCUGACCUGCCUCUUGAGAAACCUGUAUGCAGGUCAGGAAGCAGCAGCUAGAACUGGACAUGGAACAACAGACUGGUUCCAAACAGGAAAAGGAGUACGUCAAGGCUGUAUAUUGUCACCUUGAUUAUUUAACUUAUAUGCAGAGUACAUCAUGAGAAACACUGGGCUGGAAGAAGCACACGCUGGAAUCAAGAUUGCCGGCAGAAAUAUCAACAACCUCAGAUAAGCAGAUGACACCACCUUUAUGGCAGAAAGAGAAGAGGAACUAAAAAGCCUCUUGAUGAAAGUGAAAGAGGAGAGUGAAAAAAUUGGCUUAAAGCUCAACAUUCAGAAAACUAAAAUCAUGGCAUCUGGUCCCAUCACUUCAUGGCAAAUAGAUGGGGAGACAGUGGAAACAGUGUCAGACUUUAUUUUUUUGGGCUCCAAAAUCACUGCAGAUGGUGACUGCAGCCAUGAAAUUAAAAGAUUCUUGCUCCUUGGAAGGAAAGUUAUUACCAAGCUAGAGAGCAUAUUGAAAAGCAGAGACAUUACUUUGCCAAUAAAGGUCCAUCUAGUCAAGGCUAUGGUUUUUCCAGUGGUUAUGUAUGGAUGUGAGAGUUGGACUGUGAAGAAAGCUGACUGCCAAAAAAUUGAUGCUUUUGAACUGUGGUGUUGGAGAAGACUCUUGAGAGUCCCUUGGACUGCAAGGAGAUCCAACCAGUCCAUCCUAAAGGAGAUCAGUCCUGGGUGUUCAUUGGAAGGACUGAUGCUGAAGCUGAAGCUUCAAUACUUUGGCCACCUCAUGUGAAGAGCUGACUCAUUGGAAAAGACCCUGAUGCUGGGAGGGAUUGAGGGCAGGAGGAGAAGGGGAUGACAGAGGAUGAGAUGGCUGGAUGGCAUCACCGACUUGAUGGGCAUGAGUUUGAGUGGACUCUGGGAGUUGGUGAUGGACAGGGAGGCCUGGCGUGCUGCGAUUCAUGGGGUCACAAAGAGUUGGACACGACUGAGCGACUGAACUGAACUGAACUGAACAUGGAUAUUUCAAAUAAUCAGAACCCCAAAUGGCUUUGAGUUAUCCUCCUUUUCAUGGUUGGGUAGCUUUCCUCUUUCUCUCCUUUCCUUCCCAUCUGCCUUCUGCUUCUCUGUCCUUAUCUUUCCUUCCUUCCUUCCUUUCCUUUCUUCCUUUUCUUUCUUUCACUCUCCUUCCUUCUCUCCCUCCCUUCCUUCCUUUCUCCUUUCUUUCCUUCCUUUCUUUCAUCAACAAAUAAUUAUUAAAUACACAGAAUAUUCCAGGCCCUUUGGAUACUUCAUUUAAAUUUUGCAGAUGCUGUCCCUGCCCUCAUGGAACUUAGUCUGGUAGGGAAGUCAGGCAAUCAAUUAAAACUUACAAAAAGUGUUAUAUAAUUGCAGCAAUAAUAUUAUGUGCUAUGAAAUGUGAUACCAUAUUAUGUUAAUGUUCAACAAUUUUGUAAGGUUAAGGAGGACUUUCCCAAAGGAAAGACUAUUUAAGCUGAGAUAAAAAGAAUAGAUAGCUUAUAAAGUAAUUCCAAUUAUAGAAGCUUUCCAGAAAAUGGAAAGACCAUAUGUGAAGACACAGAAGAAAACAAAACAAUCUCCAAUACAUUCUAGAUUAAGAUCCACAGUCAUCAGAGAGUGAAAGGUACUCUUUCUGCCAUUGUCUUUGGAAUACUACUUGAGAAAAAAACAAUCUGCCAUGAAGCAUCAUGGAAAUUGUUAGUGAUAUAAAUAACCUCAAUAUAUUUUUACCCCAAAACUUAGAUGACUUGUAAGCUAAAAGAACAAAUAGCAGUAAAUAAUGCUCAGAGGGUCUUUAUUGUGGCUACAAAAAUUAGCCUACUGCUCCAAUUUAUACUAUGUAAAACAUGAUUGGCAGGAGGAGAAGGGGCAACAGAGGAUGAGAUGGUGGGAUGGCAUCACCGACUUAAUGGAUAUGAGUUUGAGUAAGCUUCAGGAGUUGGUGAUGGACAAAGAAGCCUGGUAUGCUGUAGUCCAUGGGGUCACAAAGAGUCAGACACAACCGAGUGACUGAACUGAACUGAAAACAUGAUUACUCUGUUCAAAUAUGAUCAUUUGCAUCCCCAGUGUAUAAGUACACUUGUUACAGUGUAAGUUUGACUGCCAUCAUAGAGACUCAAAGCAAUAGAAGUUUAAACAUGAUGGAGGUUUGAUUUUCUCUUCUCUAACAGUCUGAGUAUAAGCAUACCUGAAUCAGGGUGGUUGGUACAUGCACAAUGUUGAAGACAUGGUCUCCUUAUAUCUUGCUGCUUCUUGCUCUUUAGAAUGUUGCCCCCUCCUCUCCAUGUUUCAAGAAGGCUCACAGGAAGAGAAAAAAAAGUUAGAGAAAGAUACAGAUUUUCCCUUUGAGAGGCACAGUUCAGAGUUUUUUCAGAUCAUUUCUGUUGUUAAAUCACUACCUGGAUGGACUUUGUCACAAGGCCACACCUAGGCUGAGAAAUACAGUCAUUAUUGUGGGCAGUCGUAUGCCCAAAUGAAAAAUAGGAAGAAGGUGAUACCAGAUCAUCGGAGGAAGGAAGCAUUCACUGCAACAGUGAGAAAAGAUAAAAGCACUAUGAUAACCUAAAGGAUUUAAACACAAGUGAGACUAAAUUCCUGACCUCAAGGAUGCCAGGAUCCAAUGGAUGAGAAAGGCAGCAGAAAUGUUGUAGAAAGGAGGAAGUGUUUUGGAAACAAAGCCUGGCCAUAAAUGGAUUCUGUUUGGGGAAUUGUUAUUACAGAAAAGAUAGCGCAGGUCAGUUGGUAAAUCAUCUGCCUGCAAUGCAGGAGACCUGGCUUCGAUUCCUGGGUAGGGAAGAUUCCCUGGAGAAGGAAAUGGCAACCCACUCCAGUAUUCUUGCCUGGAGCAUCCCAUGAACAGAGGAGCAUGACAGGCUACAGUCCACAGGAUCGCAAGUGUUGGACAUGACUUAGCGACUAAACCACCACCAGAGCUGAAUUCACAAGUGCAUGUAUAUGUUAGAUUUCAACUGGAAAAGAAGGGUAAAAACCUUUCAUGAACAGGAAACCCUAUUACAGCAACUUCUUUGAAGGACAUAUAUGUGCUUAAUGCUGCUUCCACUCUUUGUAGCCAGAUAAUUUAAAAAAUAAUCUUAGCUACAGGUUUUAGUCAAAAUAAUGAGUCUUAUCUAGAUUAAUGUGAAAGUGAAUUCUGAAAAUUUUGAAUCAUAACUAGUGCAUUCCUAAGUGCUGAGAUUGCACUUGAUGAAACUAACAGAAAGAUAAAGCUGAGAUUCUUCUUAGAACUAUUAAUCCACAAAGUAUGUAGCCAUAAACAUAACUUUUCCUUUUAUAUUCAGAAGACACCCCCAAAGGAAGGUAAACAGUGAAGUAGGAUCUGUAAAAUAAUCCAUCUCAAGAACAUCACAACUCAUAAAAAUUGGAUGAACUAAACUCUGACAUGAUGAGAAAAUAAUAAUCAUAAUUUCCACUAGUAUAUCAAUUUGUUUUCUAAAGUAUGCUUUACAUACACUUUCAGGUGACACUCAAAUCUAUGCUAUAGGUACAAUUAGCAUUGUUAUCCCAUUUUUAAGGGCGAGGAAACUAAAGUUAAAAGAUAUUAAACAGACACUCAAUAUCAAAUAUGAAGAGUUUCAGAGAUGAGACUCAAACCCAAGACAGAACAAGAGCAUAUAAUCAGUGUUGUGGGAAAAUAAAAUUGUCUGUGAAUGUAUUCUCAGGUGGAGGACAAAAGUCAAAACUAAACGUAAAGGGUUAAAGACUAAUCAUCUAAUUAUAUUCCCCAACAGCUCUUUAACCUUUUUUGUUGUUGUUCUUAUGAACACAGUUGCAAAAGAAAUUUAAGCAAAAAUGGUGUAGUUCCUGAGAAUUCUAGAGAAGUUGGGACCACUUUCUGCAUUAUUUUAGUUUACGUAUAGAUUAUCCCAGGAUUGGCAUGCUAGAAUAUUCUGAUAUGAGAUUUAUUCUGUACAGAGAUAAUGUUAUAAUCCAUUCAAUUUAGCCAUGAUAUAUAAAAAAUUGUGUUGCUACAGGGGGGCUUUUGAUAGAAAUGUAAUCAUAAUUUACCAAGAUACUGUUAAGUCAGAUUAAUUGAAGAUGACUAUUUUGGUCAAUUAGUUAGUCUGAAUUUAGAACACUUAUUUAAUAUUUUAGUAAAUAAUAAUGUAUAGUAUAACUGGAAAUUUUGCCAGGUAUAUUUUAACAAAUGCUUUCAAUUUGCAGAGCAUGCAAACAAUGCCUAAAGGUUUUAAAAAUAAAUCUAUACUCUGAUGUAAAAUAUCUAUUCGCUUAAGAAAUCAUUAUCCUUCAAACUUGUAAACAUUGCAGGGAACUUUUAAAAAAGGGAAAUAUUCAUAAUUUAAAUUAUUGAAAUGAGUGAAAUUGUCAUGUACUGAAGCCAAUAUAUAUCAUGAUGCCUUCAAAAGACACAAAACACUAAUGGUAAAGUUUCUGUUCAUUGAACAACUCUAUACAUCGUCCAUACACAUAUACAUAUGUCUGUUUCUGUACAUAAAUCAACCUCAGAUCCAUGCUGAAAUGCAGGUUUUAUCAUUCCCACUUUAUAGAUGUGGGUGUUGAGGGUUAAAAUGAUUAAGUGACUUCACCAAAAUCCCAUAGUUUGUAAGAAAGUGAGAAACAGUUAAUCCCACAUUUGUGUGGUUUUACAAUCUAUGUCUUUUCCACUAUAUCCACAACUUCUUUCUAUGUAUGCAAAUGACUGUCUAAGAAAAGUUAUACCAUCACAAGAACAUCUAGGUUGAUAACAGUAUUCUAUUUCUUGACUCAGGUGUUAAUUAUAAAAUUUCUUGCAUUAUAAAUAUUAUUAAUAUUCUGUACUUUCUUUUUUUUUUGCCUUUGCACUUCUUGGUAUGUGAGAUAUAAUUUCACAAUAAAAUGAUAAAAUAAA